rnacentral:rRNA from 1 species
UACGGGGGGGCAAGCGUUGUUCGGAAUUACUGGGCGUAAAGGGCGCGUAGGCGGCCUUCUAAGUCGGACGUGAAAUCCCUCGGCUUAACCGAGGAACUGCGUCCGAUACUGAAAGGCUUGAAUCCGGGAGAGGGAUGUGGAAUUCCAGGUGUAGCGGUGAAAUGCGUAGAUAUCUGGAGGAACACCGGUGGCGAAGGCGGCAUCCUGGACCGGUAUUGACGCUGAGGCGCGAAAGCUAGGGGAGCGAACGGG